CCUGAUGCAGCCAUGCCGCGUGUGUGAAGAAGGCCUUCGGGUUGUAAAGCACUUUCAGUUGUGAGGAAAAGUUAGUAGUUAAUACCUGCUAGCCGUGACGUUAACAACAGAAGAAGCACCGGCUAACUCCGUGCCAGCAGCCGCGGUAAUACGGAGGGUGCGAGCGUUAAUCGGAAUUACUGGGCGUAAAGCGCACGCAGGCGGUUUGUUAAGCUAGAUGUGAAAGCCCCGGGCUCAACCUGGGAUGGUCAUUUAGAACUGGCAGACUAGAGUCUUGGAGAGGGGAGUGGAAUUCCAGGUGUAGCGGUGAAAUGCGUAGAUAUCUGGAGGAACAUCAGUGGCGAAGGCGACUCCCUGGCCAAAGACUGACGCUCAUGUGCGAAAGUGUGGGUAGCGAACAGGAUUAGAUACCCUGGUAGUCCACACCGUAAACGCUGUCUACUAGCUGUGUGUGUCUUUAAGACGUGCGUAGCGAAGCUAACGCGCUAAGUAGACCGCCUG
rnacentral:rRNA from 1 species